AUCCUGUUUAAAUUCCAAUUCCUUCUCAUAUUUUACACGAUCGUGCUCUAGCUGUAACAGAAGCAGCUCUUUCUGCUGUUCAAAAAGAAGACUACUAGGACUAACCGAUGGAGCGGUAAUUGUAACAUAUCGGGGAGACGGCGAGUCCUCAGCAGAGGCUGCCCCAGUGGUAUCUUCAAGAAUACCACUCUCCAUCAGAUUGGCCUUCAAUAUUAAUCUAAUAGAAUUUUUUUUUACAUUUAUCACUAAUUUCAACCUUGUAGUGUUCAGCAACCUUCAACAGCUGUUCUUUAGUACAUACAUCUAACAGUUCCUUUGAUGGAAAGCGAAUGAACUCGUCUACAUUAGACGCCAUAGUCAAAAAAAUUCUCACUCAACCCCUCUACUGAGCACACCAGACCACAACAAGAGAAAAUACAAAUCACACCGGGCACCACAGAAAAGAGAUGAGAAAUGGAGCUUCCCCAAAAUCUACAAUAACUCAACCCUAGUCUUCAUGCAGAUUUGCGGUGGGUAAUUAUGCACUGUAGCCCGCUGGCAAGGAAGUAACCCCCCCAGCACGCUGGUAGAUUCCACCAAGCCACGGAUGUGCCCCCGAGACAACUGCUCAGUCCACAGACACCACACAAAAAUAACAAACAUUAACAAUGCCCAACAUAUUCCAAAAUGAAACACGUCACUAAGCCUAUCAGGGGAAAAAGGUUAUAGCUCCGGGUAGUAAGUUUCACUACCCUAUCCAAAUCUCCCACCAAGGUACACAGCUGAUUGUACUCACCUCAGACCAACGUCCCAACAGCAAGUAGAACAAGCGUUUCCAGGCUAGGCAGGGGCCUGGAAACUAACCAAUGUAUUCUCUCCAACACAGCACACAAACCAAACAAACAAAGCACCUCAAUUUAACAUACCGCCACGUUUUCUCCCAAACACAAGUUCAAGAUCCCGGAUGAGCCCCCACUUGUUACGAACCUGUAAGGGCUGUCUUCAGGAAAGGACCAAAAUGCAGCAGAGUUAGUAUUCAUCCUUCAAUUUAAUUGGAAAGAACACUAUACAAAAACAAAAACAAGGAAACUGACAGCCAACAGUCCUGUCAGGUGCAACCACACUAAACAAGAAACAAUUACCCACAAAACCCAAAGGAAAAACAUGCUCCUUAUGUGUGACUCCCAAUCAGCAGCAACGAGCACCACCUGUGCCUGAUUGGGAGCCACACACAUGGCCCAAAACAAAGAAAUACCAAAACAUAGAAAAAGGAACAUAGAACGCCCACCCAAUGUAACACCCUGGCCUAACCAAAAUAAAGAACAAAAACCCCUC
rnacentral:lncRNA from 1 species